rnacentral:lncRNA from 1 species
GUCUCUUAUAUUAAUCAUGAUUUAAUUUUUUAUUUUAAUCUUGAUUUACAUGAGGAUAUAGCUUUUAACUAGACUACAUGUGUUGACUGAAAGGCAUGGACUGAAACCAAAAGGUAUGGAUAAUAGGGCUCAAGCCAUUUAGGAAUUUAGGAAUUUCAGUGCUUUAUGCCCAUUGUUUGACCAAGGAUUUGAGGGCUCAAGCCAAAGCCAUUCAGGUUAGUCUAUGUUACUUGAUGAUAAAACUUUAAAAAAAGGAUUGAACCAUUACUUGAUUACUCAACCUGAAAUGAAUUUUCUUCACUGUUUCAUGGGUAUGUGAUAGCUGCAUUUGGUAAACACAUGGCUACAUUUACUAAACCUGAAAUUGAUAUCUAUUAAUUCUAUUAGCAUUUUUGGAUACUUGACUUUUUUAAAUUGUGAUUGCAUUUGG